ACUGUACCUGCAGAAGAAGCACCGGCUAACUACGUGCCAGCAGCCGCGGUAAUACGUAGGGUGCAAGCGUUGUCCGGAUUUAUUGGGCGUAAAGAGCUCGUAGGCGGUUUGUCGCGUCGGAUGUGAAAACCUAUGGCUUAACCAUGGGCCUGCAUUCGAUACGGGCAAACUAGAGUUCGGUAGGGGAGACUGGAACUCCUGGUGUAGCGGUGAAAUGCGCAGAUAUCAGGAAGAACACCGGUGGCGAAGGCGGGUCUCUGGGCCGAUACUGACGCUGAGGAGCGAAAGCGUGGGGAGCAAACAGGAUUAGAUACCCUGGUAGUCCACGCCGUAAACGUUGGGCGCUAGGUGUGGGGAACCUUCCACGUUCUCCGUGCCGUAGCUAACGCAUUAAGCGCCCCGCCUGGGGAGUACGGCCGCAAGGCUAAAACUCAAAGGAAUUGACGGGGGGCCCGCACAAGCGGCGGAGCAUGCGGCUUAAUUCGAUGCAACGCGAAGAACCUUACCUGGGCUUGACAUAUAGGGAAAUCUCAUAGAGAUAUGAGGUCCGCAAGG
rnacentral:rRNA from 1 species